rnacentral:lncRNA from 1 species
UGUGGACAAUAAGAAGGCCAACUCAGAUGCUGUAAACCACACAGUCUUCCAAUAAAACCUGAACUGGUACUACCAGCUGGUUUUAUGGAGACUGAUAACAUGGAUUUUAUGACUACUCUGUAGCGUGAGCUGGGUAUUGGCCAGUGACAAAAGUGAAUAGCCGCAUAAUCCUACUGUUAUCAGUGAUGUUACAGCACCAUCUACAGGGCCAGCUAAGACUAAGGUACGAUAAAGGAAUACCAGUUACACCCACAGAAAAAUUACUAGUUCCUCUUUGAACUAUACAUACAAAUACUUUAAACUAGUUAUGUAUAACCAAAGUACAGCUUGUAGAGCAUUUCAUCCCAGUGAAAACUCUUCUGUCUACUAUGUAAUCUGAACAUUUGUGUGAGUGCCAGAAAAGCGAAUCCUGUUUAUAGUCAUCCAUCAGUUCAGUAUGAUUAAUAGGAUCAUUUCAGUGCAUGCUUAUUUUUAGCCUUAUGGAGGAUUUAAGACAUAGUACUAAACCUUAUUUCCCCUUGUAAUGCAAAGUCAUAAUAUGAGAAAAAUCUUCCUUCCCAGAAUUUCUUUAAAAAUCCAGCUCAGAAGGUAUUUUGGGGUUAAGAAUACUUGUAAGAAGUUCCUGUUUUGAAGUACCUUUUGCAUGCCAAAAUUUUGCCCUUUAAUAGCCCAUUUUGCUGAAACCUGUCCAAACAAGACAGUGCAACUGCCUGACAGUGGAAAAUAUAUGACAACUUGCUAAAUACCUCCUAAAUUAAUCCUUCUUGACUGUCAGGACUGAGAGUAAAUCCCUGGGGAUCCGGCAGAAAGGUGAAGGGUUUGUCAGGAAGAGUAUAUUUUAGAUAUUCUCACUCAGGAAAGUAAAGGCAUUUUCAAAUUUUAUUUAACCCUGCUCUUUGCAUCUUCUCAUUUUAGAUAUGAAACAUGAUGAUGUGGUUUUGAAGCAAUUAUGCCAGAGGACCAGACACCUUUGCAUCUGGAUUUGCAGAUGUCUUUGGCCAAGUUAGAUGAUGAGAGGAGAUCUGAGGAGCAUUCAUUGCCACACCUGAUGUGUAAGAGUGACAUUUGGCAGCACCCACAGGGAGGUGAAGGCAGCACUCUAUCCAGGAGAGGAGAGAGCUGCUUCAGGGCCUUUCCCAGCCCAGGGGGUUCUGGUUUUCCUGGUCCUGUGUUCUGCCAUCCUGUGGUGAGUCCCUGCACUGAGGAACAUGAGACACACACAGUUCCAGGGGUGCAGGAAUGUUCCCGGU